rnacentral:rRNA from 1 species
AUGGAUGGAUCUUCUGUGGCGGAGGACUCUGCAGUUAUUUCUGCACCCACACAGAGAACAAGGUCACAACAUGGUAUCUCGACACCAAAAAUACAUACGGAUGGUACGGUCAGGUAUGAUAAGGUACGGUUUGUUGGUCUUGCUGCUACAGUAGAACCAUACAACUUGGUAGAAGCUUCAGAACAUAACGAUUGGAAAAAUGCAAUGGAUGAGGAAUAUAAUGCUCCUAUGAAAAGCAGAACAUGGCAUUUAGUUCCUCCAGCAAAAGUUAGAAAUAUAAUUGAUUGUAAAUGGGUUUAUAGAAUCAAAAGAAGAGCAGAUGGAGAAAUAGAUAGAUACAAAGCUAGACUAGCUGCAAAGGGUUUUAAGCAAAGGUAUGUCAUAGACUAUGAGGAUACCUUUAGCCCAGUUGUGAAAGCAGCUACUGUCAGACUUGUUCUCUCUAUUGCAGUAUCAAACAAUUGGAGUCUUCAUCAAUUCGAUUUGCAGAAUGCGUUCCUUCAUGGCGUUCUAGAGGAGGAAGCAUAUAUGAAGCAACCACCUGGGUAUGAGGUAAAAGAUAAGCAUCAUUAUGUGUGCAUGCUUGAUAAAGCUUUAUAUGGUUUAAAACAAGCACCCAAAGCAUGGUACUCUAGGCUGAGUGAGAAACUCCAAAGUCUUGGUUUUCAGCCAUCCAAAGCUGACACAUCACUGUCCUUUUACAGAAAAGGAAAAAUCACCAUUUUGAUGUUAGUAUAUGUUGAUGAUAUAUUGUUGCAAGUUCAUCACAGGAUGCAACUAAGGCAUUGCUUGAAGAUCUAA